GGGGUCGUGGCUCAGUGGCAAAGCACUCGCCUAGCAUGUGUGAGGCACUGGGUUCAAUUCUCAGCACCACA
rnacentral:tRNA from 1 species